GAACAAUCAACGUUUUUCAAAAGUGCUUUUCUCCCUUCGACUGACACAGCACUUGACGCAAGUUAUCAAUUCCUUCUCAAAUCUGGGACCUAUAUGACCUGGAAUAGUAUCAAAGAAAAGUUUAAUUGACUGUUGAUUGUAACGUUUAUCUGCGUCGACCAAUGACAAUGUGACACGUCGUUGGUGAUGCCUGCUAGUGGAAGUUGUUCCUUGAAAGUUUAUCCGCGUCGACCAAUGACAAUGUGACAUGUCGAUGAUGAUGCCUGCUAGUGGAAUUGUUACUUGAAAGCUUAAUCUGUGGCUCUGCCUGUUUUCUAGUUACACCAUUCUUGCUGCUGCCUUUUGCUUUCACCCAUACGAUCUCUCUCUAUAAAACAGCACAGCCAAAGCUGGAGGGGGAACCACAAAUCAGUUUCUAGCAUCUCUGGCUGUUGGAAAAUCCAGUGUUCGAAGUCAUUGAAGAGAAUCGCAAGCGCCGGGUCUGAGGUCAAGCUUGUUGGCACUCAAAGAAGCACAUCGUUGAUGGGUUGUUGCCGCGGUUCAUAUCUUUUGAGGCAGUUGUUUUGGAAGUUGAAGUCACAAUUGAAACAAGGUUUGGGACGGAAAAAGUGCUACAACCGGUUCAGCUAUGAUCUUCAGAGCUACUCUCUGAACUUCGACGACGGUUUUGAUGACCAUCGCUCAUAGUUUCCGUCCUCUCGAAGGAGUAAAUUUUACAGAAACCAUUUGAGUAUAUGGACACUUUUGUCCUUUUAAGAUAUGUAUUUACUCGAGUUUAUAUAUUCAUGCACUUAGAUUUGCUAUGAGAGUUGGCAAAUAAUAGCAUGAUUUUUGUUUCAUUUUCGACCAAUUUGCUUCCGUGCAGCGAAAUUAGUGUUGAGAAAUGAUUUUCGUACACUAUAAAAAUUGCUAUUACCUUUUUUUUUAUGAGUGGAGCAAAUAGUAUUCGUGUUGCCAACAUCUUCUACUUUUGAUUGUCAAAAAGAUAAAGUGGGAUUCCACAAAGAUGAUUUUUGGGGUCCAUUGUUCAUUGCCAUGUCCUUUUGUCUCGGAUUCCGAUGUUGCUACCAUUAAAAAACUUGACCUAAUUUGUUUUUGGAUGUGAUAUUCACGUACCAUUUUUUACUUCUCUCACAUUUUUUUAAUUUUCGGCUGUCGGAUCAGAUGAAUUGAAGAAGAUCAAAUGACAGAAAUUAACGAGAGGUGUGGGAGAAGUAAAAAAUGUAUGUGGAUAGCAUACCCCUUUAUUUUUCCAUUUGCAAGGAUAAGUGACCUAAAAUUGUGAGGUUCAUUAUUUCUUGAGAAAUGCUAAAAAGAACUUUUUCAGAAGUACAACUUGUUAUAGAAUUGUUGUUACCACAUUUUUUAGCAUAAUAUUUUAUAAUGUUGACACGAUAAUUGACAUUAAAUUGCAGGAUGAUAGAGAGUCCCUGGAGAGUUGUAGUUUUAAGAGUGUCUACCAUUUCUCUUAUUUGUUUAUCUACAUUUUAUUUUGCUAGAUGUCUAUCUAUCAACAGUCCAUGCUUUUAGCAUCCGUUGAUUUUAUAGAUGUCGAGUAACUAAGGAUGAGACAUUAGGCCAUCUACAACCGAAGGGUUUAGAGGGCUAGAUAGCCGAAAAUAGCUCGAAAACCGUCUCCAACCGAGGGCUAGGCCAAAUGGCUCGUGGGCCCCACGAGACAAAAAAGGACCAAAGGGCCGAUUGGCUGGCCCAACCCAGCCAGCCAGCCACCCCCGAGCAGGGCCACAAAUUUGAAUGCAACGGUUAGCUGAUGUCAGCUAGCCGUUAUAUUUGAAUAUUUGUUUUUUUUACCUUUUUUUUUU
rnacentral:lncRNA from 1 species